rnacentral:lncRNA from 1 species
CAUAAAAUCUUCAGUCAGAUGGGUGAACAAAACAACGGAGAUGACUAUACACAUACAGGUAGAGGGAAUAGGAAAAGCCUUCACAGUUCAAGGUGUACAGUAGGAGCAGCUGCUGUCCCCACUCCUGGGCAUCACGAUUACUUGGUUUUGUUUUCUCUCUUUCUUCUUUCUGGAAACCUCAUGCAAAGAAGACCAGAGAAGGUGAAUUUUGUAAGACCCCCACGUGGACUCAGGGGUAAGAGCUCCCUGUGCCCCAGAUCGCUGACCGUCUGCAGGGUCCACCUGACUUUGUCAAUGCCUGCCCUGUGCUCUAGGUCUCCAGAAGAUAUUUCUAUUUAGACAUCAGAAGACGAUUAUAUUUAGGCACUAACACCAUUCAAGUGCCCACAAACUUCAGUUAAGACAGAAAAACAAGCUAAUUUGCUGGAACAGAAGGCUGACCUGCAGAUCUGGUGUGGGCUUGUUUCAUUUCUUGGACUAUAUUUUUGUUGUUUUUCUUCACUGCUGUACACCCUCUGCUUGAGCAAUCGCCUGUGUUACUGUGACUUCCCUAACGCCAUCUGCCAUCUCAUGUCCCCUCCCUGGGACGUCCUUCUAAACUCCAGGCUUGCGUCUGCAACUUCCCACUUGACGUCCGUCCUCAAAUCCGUCACCAUCAUCUCAAAGGCACUGUCUCUCAGCUUGAACGUUUGAACUCCGCUGCUGCUUCCCCCAAUUCCCAGCAUUUGCCGCUGCAAUUAGUGGCACAUUUAUUUUCACGGACAUAUUUAGACAAGGUCUAACAGAUCCCAAGCUGGCCCCAAACUGAGAAUGACCUUAAACUCCAGAUUCUCCAGCCACCACCUUCCUACCACUGAGAUUACAGUCUAUCAUCAAGCCACCUCAACAAGAAUGGAGGACCUUUCGCUUCUUCUCAUGACUGUGCCUUCCACUCUAAGCCAACCCCGACUCUUCCUAGGGUUAUGAGGAAGACCAGAGAGCUGGCCUCCCCCUCACUCAGCUUCCAAUUCUACCCCUUUUCUUCAUCCUAAUAUAUUUUUUGUUUUAUUGUGGUAAAACAUAUAUCAUGUAAUAUUCCCUUAUAAGAGCG